rnacentral:rRNA from 1 species
ACGCUCGACACCUACGGGAGACAGCAGUGGGGAAUAUUGCACAAUUGGGGAAACCCUGAUGCAGCGACGCCGAGUGAGCGAAGAAGUAUUUCGGUAUGUAAAGCUCUAUCAGCAGGGAAGAAACUGACGGUACCUGACUAAGAAGCACCGGCUAAAUACGUGCCACAGCCGCGGUAAUCUGAGCGGGCUGGCAAGGC